AUUGAACGCUGGCGGCAGGCCUAACACAUGCAAGUCGAGCGGUAGAGAGAAGCUUGCUUCUCUUGAGAGCGGCGGACGGGUGAGUAAUGCCUAGGAAUCUGCCUGGUAGUGGGGGAUAACGUUCGGAAACGGACGCUAAUACCGCAUACGUCCUACGGGAGAAGGCAGGGGACCUUCGGGCCUUGCGCUAUCAGAUGAGCCUAGGUCGGAUUAGCUAGUUGGUGAGGUAAUGGCUCACCAAGGCGACGAUCCGUAACUGGUCUGAGAGGAUGAUCAGUCACACUGGAACUGAGACACGGUCCAGACUCCUACGGGAGGCAGCAGUGGGGAAUAUUGGACAAUGGGCGAAAGCCUGAUCCAGCCAUGCCGCGUGUGUGAAGAAGGUCUUCGGAUUGUAAAGCACUUUAAGUUGGGAGGAAGGGCAGUUACCUAAUACGUGACUGUUUUGACGUUACCGACAGAAUAAGCACCGGCUAACUCUGUGCCGGCAGCCGCGGUAAUACAGAGGGUGCAAGCGUUAAUCGGAAUUACUGGGCGUAAAGCGCGCGUAGGUGGUUAGUUAAGUUGGAUGUGAAAUCCCCGGGCUCAACCUGGGAACUGCAUUCAAAACUGACUGACUAGAGUAUGGUAGAGGGUGGUGGAAUUUCCUGUGUAGCGGUGAAAUGCGUAGAUAUAGGAAGGAACACCAGUGGCGAAGGCGACCACCUGGACUGAUACUGACACUGAGGUGCGAAAGCGUGGGGAGCAAACAGG
rnacentral:rRNA from 1 species